AGCGAACGCUGGCGGCAGGCUUAACACAUGCAAGUCGAGCGGGCCCUUCGGGGUCAGCGGCAGACGGGUGAGUAACACGUGGGAACGUACCCUUUGGUUCGGAAUAACGCUGGGAAACUAGCGCUAAUACCGGAUACGCCCUUUUGGGGAAAGGCUUGCUGCCGAAGGAUCGGCCCGUGUCUGAUUAGCUAGUUGGUGGGGUAAUGGCCUACCAAGGCGACGUUCAGUAGCUGGUCUGAGAGGAUGAUUAGCACCGAUGGGACUGAGACACGGCCCAGACUCCUACGGGAGGCAGCAGUGGGGAGUAUUAGGCAAUGGGCGCAAGCGUGAUCCAGCCGUGCCGCGUGAGUGAUGAAGGCCUUAGGGUUGUAAAGCUCUUUUGUCCGGGACGAUAAUGACGGUACCGGAAGAAUAAGCCCCGGCUAACUUCGUG
rnacentral:rRNA from 1 species